AGUGAACGCUGGCGGUAGGCCUAACACAUGCAAGUCGAACGGCCGCACAGUAAGCGCUUGCUCUUACGGGUGGCGAGUGGCGGACGGGUGAGGCAUACAUCGGAAUCUACUUUUUCGUGGGGGAUAACGUAGGGCCACUUACGCUAAUACCGCAUACGACCUACGGGUGAAAUCAGGGGAUCUUCGGACCUUGCGCGAUUGAAUGAGCCGAUGUCGGAUUAGCUAGUUGGCGGGGUAAAGGCCCACCAAGGCGACGAUCCGUAGCUGGUCUGAGAGGAUGAUCAGCCACACUGGAACUGAGACACGGUCCAGACUCCUACGGGAGGCAGCAGUGGGGAAUAUUGGACAAUGGGCGCAAGCCUGAUCCAGCCAUACCGCGUGGGUGAAGAAGGCCUUCGGGUUGUAAAGCCCUUUUGUUGGGAAAGAAAAGCAGCAUGUUAAUACCCCGCUGUUCUGACGGUACCCAAAGAAUAAGCACCGGCUAACUUCGUG
rnacentral:rRNA from 1 species